rnacentral:rRNA from 1 species
UAACACUAACUGGAGGACCGAACCGACUAAUGUUGAAAAAUUAGCGGAUGACUUGUGGCUGGGGGUGAAAGGCCAAUCAAACCGGGAGAUAGCUGGUUCUCCCCGAAAGCUAUUUAGGUAGCGCCUCGUGAAUUCAUCUCCGGGGGUAGAGCACUGUUUCGGCAAGGGGGUCAUCCCGACUUACCAACCCGAUGCAAACUGCGAAUACCGGAGAAUGUUAUCACGGGAGACACACGGCGGGUGCUAACGUCCGUCGUGAAGAGGGAAACAACCCAGACCGCCAGCUAAGGUCCCAAAGUCAUGGUUAAGUGGGAAACGAUGUGGGAAGGCCCAGACAGCCAGGAUGUUGGCUUAGAAGCAGCCAUCAUUUAAAGAAAGCGUAAUAGCUCACUGGUCGAGUCGGCCUGCGCGGAAGAUGUAACGGGGCUAAACCAUGCACCGAAGCUGCGGCAGCGACGCUUAUGCGUUGUUGGGUAGGGGAGCGUUCUGUAAGCCUGUGAAGGUGGCCUGUGAGGGUUGCUGGAGGUAUCAGAAGUGCGAAUGCUGACAUAAGUAACGAUAAAGCGGGUGAAAAGCCCGCUCGCCGGAAGACCAAGGGUUCCUGUCCAACGUUAAUCGGGGCAGGGUGAGUCGACCCCUAAGGCGAGGCCGAAAGGCGUAGUCGAUGGGAAACAGGUUAAUAUUCCUGUACUUGGUGUUACUGCGAAGGGGGGACGGAGAAGGCUAUGUUGGCCGGGCGACGGUUGUCCCGGUUUAAGCGUGUAGGCUGGUUUUCCAGGCAAAUCCGGAAAA